rnacentral:misc_RNA from 1 species
GUGAAUCAUCGAAUUUUUGAACGCAAAUUGCACUCUCCUGGGAGAUUAUUUCUGUUUGAGGGUCAGCCUAUAAAAUUCUACAUCGUUGCUGUGUCGUGGUGGCGUUCGUCGUAAAGUGGGUCAUCUUAAAUCCUUUUGAUUUAAGCGUCUUAUAAUGUUCUUGUGUGUCGAUGUACGUUUCUAUGAUCUAUUUCUGUACACGUUUGAGGUAUC